UACAGGGAAAGAGAGUGAGAGGGGCAAGGCAGUGCAGAGGCUGGUGCGGUGCUGACUCACUGGCAGCUACAGCACCAACACCCCUGCUGCCUUGCCCCUCUCCCUCUCCUUCCCGGUAA